rnacentral:tRNA from 1 species
GGUAAAGUGGCUGAGAA